GCUGGUGAGAAAAGGGCCGGGCAAGACCGGUGCCAGCCGCCGCGGUAAUACCGGCGGCUCGAGUGGUGGCCAAUAUUACUGGGSCUAAAGGCUUCGUAGCCGGUCUGUUAAGUCUCUGGGGAAAUCCCACGGCUUAACUGGUWGGCGUCCAAGGGAUACUGGCAGRCUAGGGACCGGGAGAGGCAAGMGGUACUYCMGGGGUAGGGGUGAAAUCCUGUAAUCCUUGGGGGACCACCAGUGGCGAAGGCGUCUCACCAGAACGCGUCCGACAGUGAGGGACGAAAGCUGGGGGAGCGAACCGGAUUAGAUACCCGGGUAGUCCCAGCUGUAAACGAUGCACGUUAGGUGUUUGGAUGGCCACGCGUCAUUSARGUGCCGAAGAGCAGUUGUGAAGCAUGCCCGCCUGGGAAGUACGGUCGCACACGCUGAAACUUAAAG
rnacentral:rRNA from 1 species